rnacentral:rRNA from 1 species
GACGAACGCUGGCGGCGUGCUUAACACAUGCAAGUCGAACGCUGAAGCUCAGCUUGCUGGGUGGAUGAGUGGCGAACGGGUGAGUAACACGUGAGUAACCUGCCCCCUUCUUUGGGAUAACGCCCGGAGACGGGUGCUAAUACUGGAUAUUCACUGGCCUUCGCAUGGGGGUUGGUGGAAAGGUUUGUUCUGGUGGGGGAUGGGCUCGCGGCCUAUCAGCUUGUUGGUGGGGUGAUGGCCUACCAAGGCUUUGACGGGUAGCCGGCCUGAGAGGGUGACCGGUCACAUUGGGACUGAGAUACGGCCCAGACUCCUACGGGAGGCAGCAGUGGGGAAUAUUGCACAAUGGGCGAAAGCCUAAUGCAGCGACGCCGCGUGAGGGAUGGAGGCCUUCGGGUUGUAAACCUCUUUCGCUCAUGGUCAAGCCGCAACAGUGGUUGUGGGAGGGAGUGGGAAAGAAGCGCCGCA